rnacentral:lncRNA from 1 species
CUUAGGACUACUCUGUGGGUCAGGAAUUCAGGAAGGCUUCAUUGGGUGAUUUGUCUUUGACCUAUGUGGUAAUAACUGGGAUGGCUGGGGCCAGAGGAUCCGCUUAGAAGAUAGCUUCUUCACUCAUACCCAUAGCCCCUCAGUGUUCUGUGGCCUCUCUCUCUUUACCUGGCAUCCUUAGGUUGCCUGCAGGUGGCUUGAGUUUCUCUCAGUGUGGUGGUUUCAGGGCAGUCAAUUUGCUUACAUGGAAGCUGACUUUCUCAGUGGGACCAUUUCAAGAGUGAUUGUUCUAAGAGAUCAAGGCAGAAGUUUCAAGGCUUUAUAUGAACUGGCUUCAGAAAUCACAUAGUAUCAUUUCUGGUACACUCUGUUGGUUACACAGGGUCAACUCAAAUUCACUAUGGGAAGGGAUGACAAAAGGAAGAGAGUACAGGGAGGCAUGGUUCAUUGGAAGUUAUUUUGGAGAUCAGCUAUCAUAGCAAUUGAUUGCCCACGAUUUUCUGUUUUUUGUUUUUUUUCCUUAAAUCUCCUGACCUACUGAAAUUUGCCAGGUUAAAAUCUCAGAGCUUACUGACCCUGGGAAAUGCUAUCCAAAGAGAUCAUGUAGAGCUGGUAUCAGAGGAUUUUUCAAGGUUAUUUUAGGAGCUGGUGCAUCCUGACAUUCAAAGAAUACACACAUUUCUUUUCACUAAGUUCUCAUAUAAAUGCCAUGACAGGCAGUGAGAUAGACUUAGAGUAUUCCUGGCCUCAGGAGGUGGGACUUCCAUGAGGAACUGCUAUCUUAACCUCUAUCCUGUUCACUGCCUCUCCACAAAGGAGAAAGGGUCUAAGAUUUUAAAUAUGUGCCAGGCACACACUUAGCACAUACAUACAUGUUAGUGGUGAAUCCUCCCAAAGACCGGUGAGAUAGACUGUAUUAUACUCAUUUCAUAAUUGAAGAACCUCUGGUUCUGCUAAGCCACUAGCCUGAUGUCACACAGCAGGUAAGUGGCAACCCUGAGCUUUAAACCUAAAUCUUCUGGUUUUAAAGCACAUUGUUCUUCUACAGCACAAGAAACUGAACUGAUGUAGCAUUAUUCUGUACUUUAUUAAGGUUCAAAUUUCACUGAGCAUAUAACUGUAUACUAACUACUGUCGAAAUAUAUUUUGAAUUAGAAAUGUACAUACCUGUAAGUCUCAAAAAAAUUCUAUCAGCUUUGGCCUGGGCUCUCCAGAGUGCUCUUGGAGAUGUGCAACACUUUCCAAUUAGCAUUCUCUUUGGCCUGAUGGAUGAGGAGAAUGGGGAUGGUCAGCUAUCUCUUUUAUCCAAAUAUGAGGUCCCCAGUGUUAGAGGUCUCACUCUGGCUUUCAGUGGGGCAAAUGUUCAUGAGCACACUACCGUUGAGCAUGGCUUGCUUAGUGAGCCCAUAGGAAAUCAGGAAAUUCACAAUGAUAAAGAAUGAUGGAAUAACUGAGAUGCAUGGUAUUUUUCUUAGACCUCUUAAGAGACUGGCAACAAAUUGGGGCUUGAUGGAAAUUAAUUUACAUGAGUCAAGAAAAACCAGAGGACAGGUAGUAGGAUUGAUAAUGUCAAAGUAGGAGGAGAAGAGGAAGAAUCAUAUAUUAAAGGAGAGGUGAGAAAUGGCCAUACAUUGCAAUUGGCUCAAGGCAGAGAAAAGUUAAUUCUACACUUUAUAAUAGCACUACCAAUUAUUCACUGUCGGUACUAAGAAAUAUUUGUCAGCUCUCAACUUGUAAGUGGAGAUAAAUCUUACAUGUUCAGUUGUGUCAGGUUAUCAUCUGGUCUACACUAAUUGAAUUUGUAAUAGACCAGCCUGAGUCCUGACUCUCCACAAAGCUUCUCCUGACUACUCCCUCACGUGCUGAUUCAUGAACUUACGUCGUUACCCUACGGAGCUUUAUCUGAUUAAUUCACUAGAUUAUGAGUCUUGAGGCAACAGUUCUUUCACUAUACUUUUCCACCUCCCUACCCUUGCUCAACAUGUACACAUACACACUCACAUGCUCAUACACACACACUCACACACACAUUCACACUCACACAAUAUACUCACACACUCACACACCACACACUCACAGGCACAUACCCUUUUCUUCCAGCACAGGCCUAAAUCCUUAGGAAGCACAUAAUAAACACUGGAUGAAAGAACUGGGUUCCACACACUCAAAAACAUUUAAUGCAGAACAAUGCAUAGCCGUUAACUAAUUCAUCGAUGAUGCCAGUCUAAUUUCAGGUGUUAUUGCUAGGCCUGUUAAGCUUGGCCAGUUAGCUAUCAGCUCUGUUGAUGUUUGUAGCUUCUCUUAGAUGAACAUUUCCCAGAGUGAUUGCUCCGGAAUGUUACUUUGGAAUGUUCACACAUUAUAUGCAGUGUUGGGAGAUCUACAGUUCAUACUAGUAUAUUAAAUGCCCUGAGAAGACCUGCAGGAAAGGAAGCCAUUGUCUGAGUGAACAUUUUCCAAAUUAAUUUAUUUGACCAUAGGUUAUCUCUUAAGACAGCAGCACCUAUUUAUUUUCCAGGAAAGUAGUGUUUCCUGAAAUACAUUUCAGGAAAUCAUGGCCCACAAACCCCUGCUUUGAUUCUUUAUCUUCCUUGUUCUUGUGCUUGGUACUAUCUACCUCCCUGUGCCUCAGGCCCAGGGCUUACCUUCUUGCUUCUGAGUGGAUAGAAGCUCUGAGAACCUACAGAAAGAUGCCCCUUUAGGCUAACUUAGCAUUGUUUCAGGCUAGGAGGGGCCCCAGAAAUACCAUGUCCAAUCUUUCAUUUCAGAAACGAGGACAUAGAUGCAGAUGAGGAGAAGUCCAUUGAACACACUCAAGUUAGAACUGCAACUAAAACCCAGGCCUCUAAGUUCCAAAGAAAGAACAUUUCUCCCCUUCUAUUUUUCCUCCAUUCAUAGCGAAGCAGUUUCCUAGAGAGCCAGCAUUUGGGCCCUGCUGGCUUCAUUGAAAGUAGGCAGGCUCAAAAGCUGGAUAUAAUUAGUGAUUUUGAGGAGUUCAAUGCAUGUCCUGGAAAUGGAGAAGAUUGGCAACUGGAGCCCAUACUUUGGCAGAGGCUGAAUGCUGCUUCUAAAACUCCUGGAACAAUAUAGUGCAUUAGCUGGUCCGCCUCCACCUUGAAAUAAAGGCUUCUGGCUCCCAUGGGCUGGGCAAGGCAGAAAGGGAACAACUUGAUUUUCAAAUAAAGACCUUCUUUGAAAAAUUUCCCAGGGGACAUGAUUUGUGGGAUCAUAGCCCAGUGCACUUCUUCCACCAGACACCCUGGUUUUGGAAUAAGGGCACUGAGGCCUAGAGAGGCUUAUAUUAUUGAGGGUUAGGAAUACAUUUUGAGGCUCCCUCUCUUCAGACUGAUUGUGGAGCAUAACAUGGUCUUAUCUGCUAAUACCUACUCCCUUCUUUAUUAUAACCCCAGUUAAACUCAUAGGCUGUUUUUAUUAUAAGCAAAAUAAGUAAGUAAGGUGAAGUAGAAAAGCUCUGCCUGUCAUGAUGUCCCUGGUUUAUAGCUCCUAAUUCCCUCACCAAGGUCACAGAAACCUUGAUCUUAUGAUCUCAGCUUUUAAGACUGAAAAUGGUGCUCACCAAAACCUGCCUCAUCAUCCAGUUUUAGUAAAACUAGGAUGACCCCCCUGCAACAGAGACAGAGAUGCAGCUACCUCUCCGUCUCACGUGAAUAUUUUGCAUCUUUUGGUUGUUCAGAUCUACCGAUACUCAGUUAAGUGGGCCUUUGGGCUACUUAGUGAUAAUCCUCUCUUAACAUUUUCUUAUAAAAUACCUCUUUUUUUCUCUAUUUUUGGUAUUAUUUUCAAAAACAUAUCCUGAACUUAAUUUCUUAGUGGUUCCAUCCCCUUGAGUUCUAUUUCCUUUUAAAGUUUCUGGUAGACAGAGUCCGA